AACGAACGCUGGCGGCGUGGAUAAGACAUGCAAGUCGAACGGGACAAGUAGCAAUAUUUGUCUAGUGGCGAACGGGUGCGUAACACGUGGGCAACAUGCCUGGAAGAGCGGGAUAGCCCGGGGAAACUCGGAUUAAUACCGCAUGUGACAACGGGGCGGAUUCGCCCUGUUUUCAAAGGUGGGGACCGCAAGGCCUGCCGCCUCCAGCUUGGCCCGGGUCCUAUCAGCUAGUUGGCGGGGUAACGGCCCACCAAGGCGACGACGGGUAGCUGGUCUGAGAGGACGACCAGCCACACUGGAACUGAGACACGGUCCAGACACCUACGGGUGGCAGCAGUCGAGAAUCUUUCACAAUGGGGGAAACCCUGAUGGAGCGACGCCGCGUGGAGGAUGACGGUCUUCGGAUUGUAAACUCCUGUCAUGAAAGAACAAGCGGAGCGGGUGAACAGCCCGCCGAGUUGAUAGUAUUUCAAGAGGAAGGGACGGCUAACUUCGUGCCAGCAGCCGCCGUAAUAC
rnacentral:rRNA from 1 species